rnacentral:lncRNA from 1 species
UAAUUAAUGAUGUUAUUAAUACCCAAGGACCUUAAAAUUAAAAAUGAAUAGGAUUUUAAUCAAUGGAGUAACAAAAAGAAGAAUGUGAACCUAAUUUCUACUAUAUAAAUACACAUGUUUUGCAUGGGAUGGUACGUUUAUGCAAAUGUUCAAUUGGUAAAUUAUUAUUUUAUUGACAUAGCGUGAUUGUAAAUUUACAUACCUCUCAUUUUCGUACUUUUGCAUGAAUUUAAGCAGCUUCUGACAUAUUUGCAAUAAUUGAGCUUUAAGAUACAAUUGGACUUGGUGGUGAAAUUUUUGGACCCUAACAACAAUCUCAAAGCUAUGUAGUGCAGUAUAUGUGAUGUUUUCUUUUUGGGAACUAUUAUUAGCACUUCAAAAAUCUUAUUAUACACUCCUUAUAAGUGUAUUUUUCUUUCUAAUUAUAAAAAAUUUAGAGUGCAAAAUUAGAUUUUUUGAAUGCUAAUAACAAUUCCCUUCUUUUUUACUUUUCCAAAGAAAUGCUGAACAUGCAUUCCAACCUCAAACUCUUUAUUUUUCUUUAUUACCUCGGGAAAAUUACUGUUGUCUUUUGGAACUGGCACAUGAGUUGAAAUUUGAAACAAUAUAUAUUGUGUCAACAUUACUCAACAUAAUAUGUAUACCGGUACUAAUAAAUUUCUUGGAUAGAAUCGGAAGUCCCAUGAAAUGAUCAGACAGAUUUCAUGUUUAUGUAAAUCCAUUAAAUGUUUUACAUUACUGCAUAUAUAUACAUAGACAUAGUAUAAAAAAUCAAUCAACAGAUAGUCAAUUUACAGAAAAUAAUAUAAGGGAAUUAAGCAUUAUUUUGGAUUAAUGCAGCCUAGAAACAAGGCCACAAUUCUUUUAUGAAUUAUUACAAGUUUUUACAGGUAU